rnacentral:rRNA from 1 species
GAUGAACGCUGGCGGCGUGCCUAAUACAUGCAAGUCGAGCGAACAGACGAGGAGCUUGCUCCUCUGAUGUUAGCGGCGGACGGGUGAGUAACACGUGGAUAACCUACCUAUAAGACUGGGAUAACUUCGGGAAACCGGAGCUAAUACCGGAUAAUAUAUUGAACCGCAUGGUUCAAUAGUGAAAGACGGUUUUGCUGUCACUUAUAGAUGGAUCCGCGCCGCAUUAGCUAGUUGGUAAGGUAACGGCUUACCAAGGCAACGAUGCGUAGCCGACCUGAGAGGGUGAUCGGCCACACUGGAACUGAGACACGGUCCAGACUCCUACGGGAGGCAGCAGUAGGGAAUCUUCCGCAAUGGGCGAAAGCCUGACGGAGCAACGCCGCGUGAGUGAUGAAGGUCUUCGGAUCGUAAAACUCUGUUAUUAGGGAAGAACAAAUGUGUAAGUAACUAUGCACGUCUUGACGGUACCUAAUCAGAAAGCCACGGCUAACUACGU